AGUUGAAAAGGAACGGAGGAGUAAUAAAUAAAAGAGCACAAAGUUAGCCAAACCGUUACUCUAUAAAAGGAAUUUACCCUAACAGCUUAGCAGCUUUGCCAACAAGAGAAAAGAAACAGAUAGAAACCACCAAUAUGUUGACGCUUUUUAGCAAGAUCGCCUGUUUCUGUUCUACCAACAACAAUCAGUUCAAUGUUUCCACCUGCGAAAGGUUGCUGGAAAAGUUGAUUGUAGAUGAACGAUCACUGCUUGAAACAAAGACCGAUUGUGAUGAUGCUAUGUGCAAGGAAAUUUAUAAGCUAAUCACAAAUCAGCAAUUAAACGAUGCCCAUAUUCUGGUAUACCCAUUCACUUUCCAUCCUUU